AGGCAAUCCACUCUAGUAUUCUCGCUUGGAGAAUUUCAUGGAUAGAGGAGACUGGCAGGUACAGUUCAUGGGAUCACAAAGAGUUGGAUACGACUGAGUGACUAACACACACUCUCUUAGUAGCAUUCUCUUAUGACCUGCCUUACUUCCUUACUUCUGAUUUCAGCUAUGAUCAUGCUGCAGCAACAACCUCAACUUUACUUUCUUCCCUGAGACUUUUCCUGACUUUGUUGUGGGGACCUGCCCAUUAAGCACUGAAGGUCAACCUGGAUGUUUCGGGAACUCUACUGAAACACACACGAACAUGUGUCAGAGACUGUCUGGCCAUAUGAGUCUUGAGCUUCAAGAAGGACUUUGGAGCGUACAGUUUUGGAACUAGUUUUAGACUGAAAGUUCUGGCAAUAAUUUUAAAGGGACAGACUUUUAAAGGUAUGUUUUACUACCU
rnacentral:lncRNA from 1 species